rnacentral:rRNA from 1 species
CUUGGCGACCAUAGCGUUUUGGACCCACCUGAAUCCAUUCCGAACUCAGAAGUGAAACGAAAUAGCGUCGAUGGUAGUGUGGGGCUUCCCCAUGUGAGAGUAGAACAUCGCCAGGC